rnacentral:tRNA from 1 species
AGGGGUGUAGCUCGAACUGGUAGAGCGCCGGUCUCCAAAACCGGAGGAUGGGGGUUCGAAUCCCUCCGCCCCUGCCA